rnacentral:lncRNA from 1 species
UCAGUGGAGCUUUUAUAAAGUUUACUCAACUUGUUUUCCACUUGAAAAAACAAUCUUCCUUCAAUUUUCCAUGGCUUUUACACUCUGGUUCAAAAUUUAUUUCUUGAUGAUACGUUCAUGAUUCAUAUUCUUGCCACACACUCCACACCAAUAAAACAGUGAUUAGGCCCUGAGCCAUAUCAUUGCUGUUUUGGUGUCCAGAUGUAAAGCCGCAUUUGCUGGCUGCUUCUGGUUGUCCAGAAAGGGAACCGGGAAUCAGAGGAGGUUCCCAGGACUUAGCUGGCAAGGAAGCAGCAGCAGCAGCAGCGCUAUGAAUUUUUAAGUGUCUUUUGGAAUAAAUGGAAAACUUAAAAAGGUCUCUUUUUUUUACUCUCUGUAAGAGCUGCUUAGAGAGAGAAAUAAAUAAUUCUUAAUCAGUCCAUAUUCCCAGCAGUUUAGCUGUGUGGUAAGCUUAAAAUUCAUCCUUACCUUCUACAUUUAAGAUAUUAUAGAUAAAAACAACCACGAAAGCUAACUUGAACACAGUAAACAAUAAUGUUGACUUAAAUAUGCUUUUUUUCUAAACCUGUUAAAAGUACAAAGUGAAGGCCUUAAGUCAUCCCAGCAGGCUAACGGUAAUGCUAGCUAGUCAAGAUAAAAACAACCACAAAAGUUGUAUUUAUUUAUCUUACUUUCACAGUGAGCAAUAACGUUGACUUAAAUAUGCUUAUUUUCUAAACCUGUUAAAAGGACAAAGUAAAGGCCUUAAGUCCUCCCAGCAGGCUAACGGUAAUGCUAGCUAGUCAAGAUAACAACAACCACAAAAGUUGUAUUUAUUUAUCUUACUUUCACAGUGAGCAAUAACGUUGACUUAAAUAUGCUUAUUUUCUAAACCUGUUAAAAGGACAAAGUGAAGGCCUUAAGUCCUCCCAGCAGGCUAACGGUAAUGCUAGCUAGUCAAGAUAACAACAACCACAAAAGCUAACUUAAACACAGUAAGAAAUAAUGUUGACUUAAAUUUGCUUAAUUUUAUUAACCUGUUAAAGGACAAAGUAAAGGCCGUACAUCCUCCCACAGGCUAACGGUAAUGCUAGCUAGUCAAGCUACUAUGAUAGUUGACUUACUAUGAGCUAGCUAACGGUCAGGACUGCAAGCUAACGGUUGGGAACUCCGCGACAACAACAGCACUUCGGGGGAUGUUCAAUGUGUUUCAUGUUAGGGUGACCAUAUUCUUAAUCCCCAAAAAGAGGACACUACUACAUGGGGCGGAGUUGCGAACGUGCAAAAUUUUAAGGAAUUUUUCGGGUGGGGGCAAGUGUUUUUUUACGCUCUUCUAACUCAGUUUAAAACUGAGCAGAGCAGCAUAAAGUACUGAUGCGCUGCACAGUUUUACAAUGAGUGAAUACACGUUUCGGGGUUUGGCGUGGAACUCAGCCUCUCAGUGUGUUUCCAAAUGAACCACUGAACGUGUAAAUACAAUGUUCUUUGAUGCGAAAAUUAAGUACACGCUACACAAACUCAAAAGUAAAAGAUGAAAAAAAGAAAACAUUUUAUUUCAUCUUUUAUUUUCCACUGAUGGAAACGGGCUUCCGUGAAA